rnacentral:sRNA from 12 species
AACGUCCUGCAUCUCCCGAAGCCUUACGUUCCUACGUGGGGUCCUUUAGUAGGGAGUGUGGGACGUU